GGCAGGCAGGAUCUUGGAGGUCUGAGAAGAGAGGACAGAUAGAGUGUGGAGAAGGACGGAGAGCUGACCAGGGAAAUGUGAAAGGAUAGCCAGGUAGUUAUUGAGGGCCCAUCCCCCGACUUGAGGUCUGUAAUCACGAAUUUAAACAAAAGCAGUCAGCCCAGUCAGUAAUUUCUCAUAAGCAGCAUCCGGAUGCUUGGUUGCAGGUGCAGAGAAGACAGCGUUGAGCUCAGUCUGGGCGCUUGUAGCAAAGCAGUGGUUCUCCAGGUGUGGUCUCCAGGGCUGCAGCACCAGAAUCAUUGAAAACGUCCAUUUUGCCACGUGAGAGGACAUAUCCACGGGUUCCUGGGAUCCGAAUGUGAACAUCUUUGAGGACCUUUAUUCUGCUACCACAGCAUGGAGUGACUAGAACAAGUGAGCUGGAGCAAUGGAAACGCGAGACUGCAGAGGCGGCGAAGAUUCGGGUGGCUGCUGUGAAAGAAUGCAUUGCUUUGGAGACAGAAUCCUGUGAGAGCAAAGAGCACUUCAGUAGGAAAUCCUGAGAGUGGCAGCACCUACACCAUCCAGGAGCAAACUCAGGACGAGGCUCUCUGCCUCAUCUGCCUUAUCCAGUUUAGAACUAGAAUUCAGGGAAUGGCCUGGUGGCGUAGUGGUCCAGUUUGCAUGCUCCACUUUGGCGGCCCGGGGUUCACAGGUUCAAAUCCUGGGCAUGGACCUAGCACUGCUCAUCAAGGCAUACUGUGGAAGUGUCCCAUAUGACAAAUAGAAGAAGGACACAAAUUUUAGCUCAGGGCCAAUCUUCCUCACACACACACACACAAAAGAACUAGAAUUCAGAUGAGAUAUGUAGGGAAACACAACAUGCUUAUUG